GUCCCUUCGGGGACAUCCGAUAAAAUUGGAACGAUAUAGAGAAGAUUAGCAUGGCCCCUGCGCAAGGAUGGCAUGCACAAAUCGAGAAAUGGUCCAAAUUUUU
rnacentral:snRNA from 1 species